ACUAUAUCUAUUAACAUAAUUAUUAAUUCAUUUAGUAUUGGAUUGUUAUAUAAAAUAUCAACUUAAACAUUAUUUAAUUUUAUUUAAAUUUAAUUACUAAUGUCUAAUCCAAUAUUAUUCUAAACAUGAACAGUACUAUACAUAAUUCAAUUUAAUCUAAUCUUUUCUAAUCUUAUAUGUCAAACAUAGUUUAAUUGUACUACAAGCGUCCGUAUCUAGAACAAAGAAAAAAUUUAAUUAAUUUGUAGUAUGAAUAUAAAGAUUGAAAAAACAUUUGACACGAAAAUUAAUAAGAAUAAAAAGGUCCAUUUAACGACAGAAUCAAUUGGCGUGAAUAUUUAACCCCAAAAAAAAAAUGAAAAUAAGGACAAAAACAAGGAAUCAACAAAGUGCCAUCAUUAUGAUAAUUUCAAAAAAAAAAAAAACAGAAGUUGAAUGGGAAGUUAGGUGGCUGCACGUGCCAUGGUAGGUGAAGUUGAGUGCGUCACCACUGACAAAAGCAAGAUCUAAUGAAAAAGAAAAUGGAUCCUUGUGCUGAGCACUGGGUCAACGGUCAGCAAUUACUCCGGACCCAUAUGGAGAAAGAUGAAAUAAAAAAGGAAACGAUAGUUCUUGGUUCAUGAUUCACCUAUUAAUUUAUAUUUCAUUAUUUUGGGCUUCUUGUUUACUUUUCUAAUUUCAGUUUUUUUCUCUUACUUUCUUUUUCUAGUACGACUAUGGGUCUCAAUAUAUAUGCUACAUCUCAGGUUUUGAUUCGGUUUCUACAGGUUUUGAUUUGGGUUCUGAUCCUUUCGUUUUUGAAAAUUCAAUCCAAACAGAUUUAAAAAUUAAUUCAUUAUGAUCCCAUAUAGAUUUGGGUUAUA
rnacentral:lncRNA from 1 species